rnacentral:rRNA from 1 species
GUGAGGAAUAUUGGUCAAUGGGCGCAGGCCUGAACCAGCCAAGUCGCGUGAAGGAAGACGGUUCUAUGAAUUGUAAACUUCUUUUGUGCAGGAAUAAAGUGGGUUACGUGUAACCUUUUGUAUGUACUGUACGAAUAAGGAUCGGCUAACUCCGUGCCAGCAGCCGCGGUAAUACGGAGGAUCCGAGCGUUAUCCGGAUUUAUUGGGUUUAAAGGGUGCGUAGGUGGAUUGAUAAGUCAGCGGUGAAAGUUUGCAGCUUAACUGUAAAAUUGCCGUUGAAACUGUCGGUCUUGAGUGCAAAUGAGGUAGGCGGAAUGUGUUGUGUAGCGGUGAAAUGCUUAGAUAUAACACAGAACUCCGAUUGCGAAGGCAGCUUACUGGGAUGCAACUGACACUGAUGCACGAAAGCGUGGGUAUCAAACAGGAUUAGAAACCCCUGUAGUCC